rnacentral:rRNA from 1 species
UUGAAGAGUUUGAUCAUGGCUCAGAUUGAACGCUGGCGGCAGGCCUAACACAUGCAAGUCGAACGGUAACAGAAAGCAGCUUGCUGCUUUGCUGACGAGUGGCGGACGGGUGAGUAAUGUCUGGGAAACUGCCUGAUGGAGGGGGAUAACUACUGGAAACGGUAGCUAAUACCGCAUAACGUCGCAAGACCAAAGAGGGGGACCUUAGGGCCUCUUGCCAUCGGAUGUGCCCAGAUGGGAUUAGCUAGUAGGUGGGGUAACGGCUCACCUAGGCGACGAUCCCUAGCUGGUCUGAGAGGAUGACCAGCCACACUGGAACUGAGACACGGUCCAGACUCCUACGGGAGGCAGCAGUGGGGAAUAUUGCACAAUGGGCGCAAGCCUGAUGCAGCCAUGCCGCGUGUAUGAAGAAGGCCUUCGGGUUGUAAAGUACUUUCAGCGGGGAGGAAGGGAGUAAAGUUAAUACCUUUGCUCAUUGACGUUACCCGCAGAAGAAGCACCGGCUAACUCCGUGCCAGCAGCCGCGGUAAUACGGAGGGUGCAAGCGUUAAUCGGAAUUACUGGGCGUAAAGCGCACGCAGGCGGUUUGUUAAGUCAGAUGUGAAAUCCCCGGGCUCAACCUGGGAACUGCAUCUGAUACUGGCAAGCUUGAGUCUCGUAGAGGGGGUAGAAUUCCAGGUGUAGCGGUGAAAUGCGUAGAGAUCUGGAGGAAUACCGGUGGCGAAGGCGGCCCCCUGGACGAAGACUGACGCUCAGGUGCGAAAGCGUGGGGAGCAAACAGGAUUAGAUACCCUGGUAGUCCACGCCGUAAACGAUGUCGACUUGGAGGUUGUGCCCUUGAGGCGUGGCUUCCGGAGCUAACGCGUUAAGUCGACCGCCUGGGGAGUACGGCCGCAAGGUUAAAACUCAAAUGAAUUGACGGGGGCCCGCACAAGCGGUGGAGCAUGUGGUUUAAUUCGAUGCAACGCGAAGAACCUUACCUGGUCUUGACAUCCACGGAAGUUUUCAGAGAUGAGAAUGUGCCUUCGGGAACCGUGAGACAGGUGCUGCAUGGCUGUCGUCAGCUCGUGUUGUGAAAUGUUGGGUUAAGUCCCGCAACGAGCGCAACCCUUAUCCUUUGUUGCCAGCGGUCCGGCCGGGAACUCAAAGGAGACUGCCAGUGAUAAACUGGAGGAAGGUGGGGAUGACGUCAAGUCAUCAUGGCCCUUACGACCAGGGCUACACACGUGCUACAAUGGCGCAUACAAAGAGAAGCGACCUCGCGAGAGCAAGCGGACCUCAUAAAGUGCGUCGUAGUCCGGAUUGGAGUCUGCAACUCGACUCCAUGAAGUCGGAAUCGCUAGUAAUCGUGGAUCAGAAUGCCACGGUGAAUACGUUCCCGGGCCUUGUACACACCGCCCGUCACACCAUGGGAGUGGGUUGCAAAAGAAGUAGGUAGCUUAACCUUCGGGAGGGCGCUUACCACUUUGUGAUUCAUGACUGGGGUGAAGUCGUAACAAGGUAACCGUAGGGGAACCUGCGGUUGGAUCACCUCCUU